rnacentral:rRNA from 1 species
AUUGAACGCUGGCGGCAUGCCUUACACAUGCAAGUCGAACGGCAGCACGGGGCAACCUGGUGGCGAGUGGCGAACGGGUGAGUAAUGCAUCGGAACGUGCCAUUGAGUGGGGGAUAACGUAGCGAAAGUUGCGCUAAUACCGCAUAUUCUGUGAGCAGGAAAGCAGGGGACCGCAAGGCCUUGCGCUCUUUGAGCGGCCGAUGUCAGAUUAGCUAGUUGGUGAGGUAACGGCUUACCAAGGCGACGAUCUGUAGCGGGUCUGAGAGGAUGAUCCGCCACACUGGAACUGAGACACGGUCCAGACUCCUACGGGAGGCAGCAGUGGGGAAUUUUGGACAAUGGGCGCAAGCCUGAUCCAGCCAUGCCGCGUGAGUGAAGAAGGCCUUCGGGUUGUAAAGCUCUUUCGGCCGGGAAGAAAUCGCAUGGGUUAAUACCCUGUGUGGAUGACGGUACCGGAAUAAGAAGCACCGGCUAACUACGUG